AAUCAAGUCAAGUAAGGGCACAAGGUGGAUGACUUGGCGUAAGAGGCCGAAGAAGGACGUAGUAGCCUGCGAUAAGCGUCGGUGAGCUGGCAAACAAGCUCUGACCCGGCGAUUUCCGAAUGGGGAAACCCAACGAGAGUCAUGUCUCGUUACUCCUAUCUGAAUAUAUAGGAUAGGUAGAGGGCACCUGGGGAACUGAAACAUCUAAGUACCCAGAGGAAUAGACAUCAACCGAGAUUCCGUUAGUAGCGGCGAGCGAACGCGGAUCAGCCUAAACCUUUUUAAUGUUAAAGCUUACAGGCGUUGUUAAAAGGGUGUUGUGAGGUAAUUGUCCAUUCUUUGUAGUUAGUUAAGCAGUUAAAAAGUUAAUUAGUUAACUAGGCGACUAAUAAACUAGCUACAGGGAAUUACCAAAAGCUGUAACUUUUGGGUAAGGUAAAAAACUAAGAAAUUUAAUGGAAGGAAUCUGGAAAGAACCGCCAUAGAGGGUGAUAGCCCCGUACAUGAAAAAUUUCUUGGCCUUAUACGAUUAUACUCAAGUACCACGGGACACGAGGAAUCCUGUGGGAAUCUGGGAGGACCACCUUCCAAGGCUAAAUACCUCUUAUGACCGAUAGUGAACAAGUACCGUGAGGGAAAGUUGAAAAGAACCCCUGUUAGGGGAGUGAAAUAGAACCUGAAACCAUGUGCCUACAAAGAGUCGGAGCAUCUGAAUAGCGGAUGUGACGGCGUGCUUUUUGCAGAACGAACCAACGAGUUAAUGGCUGUUGCAAGGUUAAGUUGUUAUACAACAUAGCCGAAGUGAAAGCGAGCCCUAAUAGGGCGAUUUAAGUAGCAGUCAUUAGACCCGAAACCGGGCGACCUAACCAUGGGCAGGCUGAAGCGGCGGUAAGACGUCGUGGAGGGCCGAACCCACGUCAGUUACAAAUGGCGGGGAUGACCUGUGGUUAGCGGAGAAAUUCCAAUCGAGCUCGGAGAUAGCUGGUUCUCUCCGAAAUAGCUUUAGGGCUAGCCCUGUAAAUUACCUUCCGGGGGUAGAGCACUGAAUCGGUUUGGGGCCUUUAAAGGUACCCAGCCGAAAUAAACUCCGAAUACCGGAAGCAAUUAUUGCAGGAGUCAGAAUGUGGGGGCUAAGCUCCAUGUUCAAAAGGGAAACAACCCAGAUCGCCAGCUAAGGUCCCUAAAUCUAUACUAAGUGGAAAACGAUGUGAAGUCGCACAGACAACCAGGAUGUUGGCUUAGAAGCAGCCAUCAUUUAAAAAGUGCGUAAUAGCUUACUGGUCAAUUGUGAUUUCGCGCGGAAAAUAUAACGGGGCUUAAGUAUAGUACCGAAGCUGCGGAUUUCGAUGCUUUGCAUCGGGAAUGUCUAAUUAACCUAAUUGAUCUAAUAAAGUUCCAAUUGUUAAAUAAAUUUUCAAUUUACAAUUCUCAAUUUUCAUUGAAUUUUCAAUGACUUAAUUAAAGAAUUAGAAAUUGAUUAAUUGGGAUUUGAUUAGAAAUUAGAAAUUGAAAAUUAGAAAUUCCGAUGCAGAGCAUCGGAGUGGUAGGAGAGCGUUCCUGUCUGGUGUGAAGCUAGAUCGUAAGGUCUGGUGGACUGGCAGGAAGUGAGAAUGUUGGUAUGAGUAGCUAUAAAGGACGUGAAAACCGUCCUCACCGUAAGUCCAAGGUUUCCAGGGCAACGUCGAUCGACCCUGGGUUAGUCGGGCCUAAGCCGAGGCAAGUAGCGUAGGCGAUGGACAGCAGGUUGAUAUUCCUGCACCGGUGUUAUUGUUCCUUAAGCUGACGCUGGAUGGUAGUCAGAGCGCACUUUUGGCUAUGUGCGUCCAAGUGUCUAGUCCCUUCGGGGGUGAAGCACGAGUGAAAGCCUGGGUAAAUCCGGGUGAUUCUGGUGAGCCAAACAGACAAGAAAAGGCUUAAAUUAAUAGAUAACGCCGACCGUACCGCAAACCGACACAGGUAGACGGGUAGAGUAUACCAAGGUGAUCGGGAGAACCCUCUUUAAGGAACUCGGCAAAACAGCGGGCGUAACUUCGGGAUAUGCCCUGCCAAACUGUGUCUCACUAUUUAGUGGGACGGAAAGUUCCAAAGAAAUAUUCCCAAAAGAAAAAGAAAAU
rnacentral:ncRNA from 1 species